rnacentral:rRNA from 1 species
AGAGUUUGAUCCUGGCUCAGGAUGAACGCUGACAGAAUGCUUAACACAUGCAAGUCGACUCGAGUCUUCGGACUUGGGUGGCGGACGGGUGAGUAACGCGUAAAGAACUUGCCUCAUAGUCUGGGACAACAUUUGGAAACGGAUGCUAAUACCGGAUAUUAUGCUUUCUUCGCAUGGAGGAAGUAUGAAAGCUAUAUGCGCUAUGAGAGAGCUUUGCGUCCCAUUAGCUAGUUGGUGAGGUAACGGCCCACCAAGGCGAUGAUGGGUAGCCGGCCUGAGAGGGUGAACGGCCACAAGGGGACUGAGACACGGCCCUUACUCCUACGGGAGGCAGCAGUGGGGAAUAUUGGACAAUGGACCAAAAGUCUGAUCCAGCAAUUCUGUGUGCACGAUGACGUUUUUCGGAAUGUAAAGUGCUUUCAGUCGGGAAGAAGUAAGUGACGGUACCGACAGAAGAAGCGACGGCUAAAUACGUGCCAGCAGCCGCGGUAAUACGUAUGUCGCAAGCGUUAUCCGGAUUUAUUGGGCGUAAAGCGCGUCUAGGCGGCAAGGAAAGUCUGAUGUGAAAAUGCGGGGCUCAACUCCGUAUUGCGUUGGAAACUGCCUUGCUAGAGUACUGGAGAGGUAGGCGGAACUACAAGUGUAGAGGUGAAAUUCGUAGAUAUUUGUAGGAAUGCCGAUGGGGAAGCCAGCCUACUGGACAGAUACUGACGCUAAAGCGCGAAAGCGUGGGUAGCAAACAGGAUUAGAUACCCUGGUAGUCCACGCUGUAAACGAUGAUUACUAGGUGUUGGGGGUCAAACCUCAGCGCCCAAGCUAACGCAAUAAGUAAUCCGCCUGGGGAGUACGUACGCAAGUAUGAAACUCAAAGGAAUUGACGGGGACCCGCACAAGCGGUGGAGCAUGUGGUUUAAUUCGACGCAACGCGAGGAACCUUACCAGCGUUUGACAUCCUACAAAGAGUGCAGAGAUGCGCUUGUGCUUCUUCGGAAGAAUGUAGUGACAGGUGGUGCAUGGCUGUCGUCAGCUCGUGUCGUGAGAUGUUGG